GGCAAGGUGGCCGAGUGGUUAAGGCGAUAGACUCGAAUGCCCCGUCUGACGGUAAUUGUUCGGCUAUCUAUUGGGUUCGCCCGCGUAGGUUCAAAUCCUGCCCUUGUCG